AUUGAACGCUGGCGGCAGGCCUAACACAUGCAAGUCGAGCGGAUGACGGGAGCUUGCUCCUUGAUUCAGCGGCGGACGGGUGAGUAAUGCCUAGGAAUCUGCCUGGUAGUGGGGGACAACGGUUCGAAAGGAACGCUAAUACCGCAUACGUCCUACGGGAGAAAGCAGGGGACCUUCGGGCCUUGCGAUAUCAGAUGAGCCUAGGUCGGAUUAGCUAGUUGGUGGGGUAAUGGCUCACAAAGGCGACGAUCCGUAACUGGUCUGAGAGGAUGAUCAGUCACACUGGAACUGAGACACGGUCCAGACGCCUACGGGAGGCAGCAGUGGGGAAUAUUGGACAAUGGGCGAAAGCCUGAUCCAGCCAUGCCGCGUGUGUGAAGAAGGUCUUCGGAUUGUAAAGCACUUUAAGUUGGGAGGAAGGGCAGUAAGCUAAUACCUUGCUGUUUUGACGUUACCGACAGAAUAAGCACCGGCUAACUCUGUGCCAGCAGCCGCCGUAA
rnacentral:rRNA from 1 species